rnacentral:rRNA from 1 species
CUAGAGAGUUUGAGUCCUGGCGUCAGGCAAGCUGGCGGCGUGCUUAACACAUGCAAAGUCGAACGGAGCACCCCUGAAAGAGUUUUCGGACAAUGGAAGGGAAUGCUUAGUGGCGGACUGGUGAGUAACGCGUGAGGAACCUGCCUUCCAGAGGGGGACAACAGUUGGAAACGACUGCUAAUACCGCAUGAUGUGUUUCGAUGGCAUCAUCGAGACACCAAAGAUUUAUCGCUGGAAGAUGGCCUCGCGUCUGAUUAGCUGGUAGGCGGGGUAACGGCCCACCUAGGCGACGAUCAGUAGCCGGACUGAGAGGUUGACCGGCCACAUUGAGACUGAGAUACGGCCCAGACUCCUACGGGAGGCAGCAGUGGGGAAUAUUGGGCAAUGGGCGCAAGCCUGACCCAGCAACGCCGCGUGAAGGAAGAAGGCUUUCGGGUUGUAAACUUCUUUUAAGAGGGAAGAGCAGAAGACGGUACCUCUUGAAUAAGCCACGGCUAACUACGUG